ACUAGUCAAACCUGAACGUGCGGAUAUAUAUUUCUUUUAAAAAUAAUCUUUAAAAUAUAAAAUAUUUUUUAUUUAUGUAUACAAAUAUUUUUUUAAAAAACUUUAUAUAUAUUGAAAUUUAUUUUUAUAAAAUUGUACUAAUCAUCUAUUCACCAUUUAUUACUAAUCAUCUAUUCACCAUUUAUUAUAUUUAUUUAUUUUAAAACGCAACAUUAUAUUAAUAAUCAACUUUUAUUAUAUGAAUUAUUACAAUUUUUUAUAUUUUAUUUAAAAAUUCUUGAAACAUUUUAUGUGACUAAAUUAAAUUAGCUAUAUUUUAUUUAGUGUAUUAUAUUUUAGUUUGGUGUUUACUAUAAAAUCUGGCCUAGAUUAAAUAUGAUAAAAAAAAUUGCAUAGUAUAAAUGUAUUUGGCUUUUACAAGAUUUUUUUUGUUCAACAUAGAAAAACUUAUUUUUUAGAUUUAUAUUGUUUUCUGAUAGAAAAAUAUCAUAUAUGAAUAAAUUUAGAAUGUAUUUAGAAUGUUUUGUUAAAUUUCUAGUUAAUGGUAACAUAGACUUUAUGAUAGAUAAAAAUUAGGACCCUAAAUUAAUAGAUUAGAUAUUUAUCUUUACAUACAUACAUAUAUAUAUAUAUAUAUAUAUAUAUAUAGUUUUAGAACUUUAGGUUGAGAACCCCUAUUGGGUACAAUCCGUCCCAAUGUUUAGGAACUUUAAAAGUGGCUAUUAAUAUUUCCCUAUAUUGUUUUGACAUAUUUUGAUCACAUUUGUAAUAAAAGUAUGGAUGUAAAAAUCCAUUAGUUUGCAAUUGCAAAAAAAAAGAUCCCUAGAUUUAAGUGAAUUGGUUAGAGUGCUAACGUGUAACCUAAUGGAACAAACAAGUUCCGACAUCUAAUUCUGCAUCUUGAGAUCAUGCUCAAUCCAUCAUCCAUCUCCCAGGAUCGAGUAGAUAUGCCUUUCAUUGGACAUUCUCCACCUCGGCCGAUGGAUUUUCCUAGUUUUGAUGUCAUGCUGUUGCACAAUAAGAUAUUGAUCACACAAGAACAAUUCUGUUUCAGCUUACGGAACUGACCACAACAUUCAGGCUAUAUUGGAGGCGCUGAAAAACCCAGAAGUUGUGGAGAUCAAGGUAUGUAAUAAGAUGAGCAUCUUUCUCUCGGGUUCAUGAAUGCAUAUAAAAUAAAAUGAGAUGUUGUAAGAUGAAACAUUAAGUACGCGAGGAGAUUGGUACACGUAUGUACUGUCUCGUUGCAAGCGGCCAAGCACUACAAGAAAACACCGGUAUUCCGACGACAAAUAUCGUCGGUAUGUCCUCGGAAUAACGGUAUUCCGUGGACAUACCGACGAGAAUGGUCGUCGACGAAGGAUACACUUCCUCGGAAUAUUCCCAAAAAUAAUUUUUUUAAAAAAAUUAAAUUUUUUUUUUUAAUUGAAAUUCGAAAAUAUAAAAUUAAAAUUGAAAUAGAAAACAUAUUAGAUAAUAUUCAAAGUUGUACAUACCAAAAUAAAACAUUCAGAGUUUUUUUUUUAAAAAAGAAAAAAACUACAGGAACUGCUCGUUCGGGUACAUCCUCCUCAUCAUCUCCAUCAUUUGCUCGUUCUGCUUCCUCGUUGCCUCCCAUCCCGCCUCUUGAUCCGCCAUCUUUUGCUCCAACGCAGCUAUGCGGUCAUCUUUGUCCUUCAACUGGUCCAUAAGCACUUCUGGAUCAACAUAGGGCUGUGGUGCAGAAGGAGGAACCGACCGGGCUCGACGACCUAAACCGACCAAACGUCCCUUCUUCUUUGGAACCGACUGAAAUAGAAAAUAAACAAAUUUAAAUAAUAGAAAAGAUGAUAAAA